rnacentral:tRNA from 3 species
GCGAGUGUGGCGGAACAGGCAGACGCGACGGUCUCAAAAACCGUUAUCUUUACGGAUGUGUCGGUUCGAUUCCGACCACUCGCACCA